rnacentral:rRNA from 1 species
GACGUAGGGCGCGAGCGUUGUCCGGAUUUAUUGGGCGUAAAGAGCUCGUAGGCGGCUUGUCGCGUCAACUGUGAAAACCCGUGGCUCAACCAUGUGGUCUGCAGUCGAUACGGGCAGGCUAGAAUUCGGUAGGGGAGACUGGAAUUCCUGGUGUAGCGGUGAAAUGCGCAGAUAUCAGGAAGAACACCCGUGGCGAAGGCGGCUCUCUGGGACGGUACUGACGCUGAGACGCGAAAGCGUGGGGAGCGAACAGG